UUCUUUCGGGACACAUGUUUAAAUAGAUGAUUACGUCACGUUGUGCUCAAACUCCAGUUUAAAGGCAAGAUACAAAGACGAAGCUCUGAGUCCUACUUCAGUGAAAGUAUCCGCCAAUGUUGCAUGUAAUGUGUGUCCAUUUACUCCAGGGUUGGCAGCACAUCCAUGAAACACCGUUGUUUGACUCCGGGCAUCGUCUUCAACGCUAUUUUCGUAUAGUAGCCAUCGUUUCCCUCUGAUAACAGUGGUUUGGCAGAGGUCAAUGCUAUUGUCUGGCCUCCUGUCAAACGAUUCCCGGGCAGGAACACUGCGGAGCAAACACACUACUGACUCUUCUCUGGCUGUUGCACCGCAUUUUCAUGCUGAUGGGGAAAUAACAGAGGAGUAAUGAUGAAUAACUUCACGAUGCACAGCUUCUCCACCAACCACUGACUUGGCCACCAGGUGAACUAAAGGUUGAUUCCAGGUCUGCUGAGGGGUACAGACCAACACGACUGUUUCAAUGCAUGUGACCACUGGCAGAGGGGACAGCCUGCAGAGCCAGCAGUGAAGUGAACUCUGGGUCUGAAGCUCUGGAAGUCAGGUCCAAACCACCUCAGGGAUGUGGUGUGCGCCUCCACAGGAGCCUGCUGCCUUUCACCUUCCUCUCAGCAGGAAGCUGGAACCCUCAUGUAACACAGUCUCUGUCUGAACUCUUAACAACUGAAAUGGAUAAAAGCUGAAAACGGGCAACUGGAGUUUCAGCUGGACAACAUGGCGAGAACUGUCACCCGACACGGAGCAUCUGAAGUGCUACCUGUUCCACACCCUGGCUCCAGUCCGGGUGUCCCACAGCCAGCCACAGUUUAGAGGAUGGCUGAGGUUUUCCUGCCCUACUGAGCCUGAAGAGCCUCCAGCGGACGUGGAUCUCACCCUUGACAAAUGAACCAACGCUUUAAUAGCAGUGUGAUGUUGUGAGGAAUGGCUGAGCCAAACCUGCGACCACCACAUGCACCGACACCACUGUCAGGACAGUUAAACUUUUAUUAAGCAACACCCCUCAGGACAUACAAACAUGAUUCAGGACUUAUUUAUACCAAUGAAUGAAAAUUCCACCAGGAGCAGGAGCCGAUCCCUUAAUGUCCCAGCAGAGUGCCUGCAGAGAGGAGCACACAGAGAAGGUCAAGAUUCACCGCUUCUCACCUGUGUGUGUGUGGACUCACCUUUGAAGCCCUCUUCUGGCACUCGCACUGAAAAGCACAUGACCAAGGAAUGAACGGUGAAAGGUUUGGACAGAAAGACGGAGGUGGGCGGAGACACUCACCCUGAUAGGCAUCGUCCAUGGCAGCGUAGUCUGCAAUGGGCUCGUCAGCCUGGAGGAAGCAGGGCAGCAGAGUUGGGCAUGGACUGAGACUGAGCAAGGGGGAGGAUGAAGCCACGUACCCGGAGGAAUAUGAUGCUCUCAGGGACGAUGCCGAGGCUGCCCAGCGUGGCCGAGUCGUCCGUCAGAGACUUCCCGUUGAUGGAGAGGUUCUGGUCGAAUGGCGCCACGGAGAAGGCGUGCAUGAUCUGAAGCACCAACCAAGC